UACGUAGGGCGCGAGCGUUGUCCGGAAUUAUUGGGCGUAAAGAGCUCGUAGGCGGUUUGUUGCGUCGGCUGUGAAAUCCCGAGGCUCAACCUCGGGUCUGCAGUCGAUACGAGCAAACUAGAGUGUUGCAGGGGAGACUGGAAUUCCUGGUGUAGCGGUGAAAUGCGCAGAUAUCAGGAGGAACACCGGUGGCGAAGGCGGGUCUCUGGGCCGAUACUGACGCUGAGGAGCGAAAGCGUGGGGAGCAAACAGG
rnacentral:rRNA from 1 species